CUAGAAAAAAUUAAAAAUUUAAAACUACUUUAAAAAAACUUUUCUGUGUCAUAUACUAGAAAAUAAGAAGCUAUCUUCUUACCAUUUUAGAAGUUUUGCAACAGCCAUGCUGCUUCAAGAAAAGUGAAAAACACACUGAAAUAGACAUUGGAGACAAAUAUUUAGAAGUAUAAUCCUUCACAGCUAAAAGUUAAGUAAAACAAAUAAUACCCUCUCAUUAUAGUUUAAAUAUAUAAAACACAAGUAUGUCUAUAAGCUGGAACCACCAUCUUACUUCCUUUCCCCUUCUAUAGGCACUUCCAAGGAUUAAAGGAGUAAAAUCCAAAGCCUCUGCAUGUUAAAUACUCUAGGUAACCAACUCUUCCUCUCUGCUUUUGUGGACUGGAGCAGAAUUUCCCUGAGUGCCUCACCCCCACACUCCUCAGUAAAUUUCUCUACAAUAUCUCCCUUACUGAAAAGGAUGAUUCUGAGCAAGCACAAAGCAGCUCCUGCCCACCAAGAAGCUAGAGACUCAGUUUCUUAGUGACAUUGCUGCAAUAAGGAAUCUAAAAAAAAUCAGGUAAAGUCACUUCAAAGCAAAUGGGAGUUAAAAAUAAGUAGGAUUCUUCAGAGACUAAUUAAGACUUGAAAAUCAGGAAGUUGAUGCCCAUAGGGAAGUGCCGGGUAUUCAGAGGGCAGAACUGUAACUUGCUAAGCAAUCCUGGGUGAAAUAUUCCAUCUCCUUGUAUU